AUCUAGCUGACGAGUCCCGAAUAGGAGGAAGUGCUCGUUCAAUAU
rnacentral:hammerhead_ribozyme from 11 species